rnacentral:rRNA from 1 species
AACGUAGGAGACAAACGUUAUCCGGAGUUACUGGGCGUAAAGGGCGUGCAGGCGGUCGACUAAGUCUGGCGUGAAAGCUCUCGGCUAAACCGGGAGAGGUCGUUGGAUACUGGUUGACUAGAGGACGGUAGAGGCGUGUGGAAUUCCGGGUGUAGUGGUGAAAUGCGUAGAGAUCCGAAGGAACACCAGUGGCGAAGGCGACACGCUGGGCCGUACCUGACGCUGAUACGCGACAGCAUGGGGAGCGAACGGG